rnacentral:rRNA from 1 species
AGAUGCGAUCAUACCAGCACUAAUGCACUGGAUCCCAUCCCGCAGUUAAGCGUGCUUGGGUGAGAGUAGUACUAGGAUGGGUGACCUCUCGCGAAGUCCUCGUGUUGCAUCCC